CGUGUAGGCGGUUUCGUAAGUCGGAUGUGAAAGCUCCUGGCUCAACUGGGAGAGGCCAUUCGAUACUGCGGGACUUGAGGUCGGGAGAGGGACGUGGAAUUCCCGGUGUAGUGGUGGAAUGCGUAGAUAUCGGGAGGAACACCAGUGGCGAAGGCGACGUCCCGGCCCGCACCUGACGCUAAGACGCGAAAGCGUGGGUAGCGAACG
rnacentral:rRNA from 1 species